CCUACGGGACGCACCAGUGGGGAAUAUUGCACAAUGGGCGCAAGCCUGAUGCAGCCAUGCCGCGUGUAUGAAGAAGGCCUUCGGGUUGUAAAGUACUUUCAGCGGGGAGGAAGGCGAUAAGGUUAAUAACCUUGUCGAUCGACGUUACCCGCAGAAGAAGCACCGGCUAACUCCGUGCCAGCAGCCGCGGUAAUACGGAGGGUGCAAGCGUUAAUCGGAAUUACUGGGCGUAAAGCGCGCGCAGGCGGUCUGUCAAGUCGGAUGUGAAAUCCCCGGGCUCAACCUGGGAACUGCAUUCGAAACUGGCAGGCUAGAGUCUUGUAGAGGGGGGUAGAAUUCCAUGUGUAGCGGUGAAAUGCGUAGAGAUGUGGAGGAAUACCGGUGGCGAAGGCGGCCCCCUGGACAAAGACUGACGCUCAGGUGCGAAAGCGUGGGGAGCAAACAGGAUUAGAUACCCCAGUAGUC
rnacentral:rRNA from 1 species